AGAACUUUGGAAAGAGAGUUAAACAGUACGUGAAAUUGUUGAAGGGAAACGCUUGAAGUCAGUCGCGUCAGCCAAGGAUCAACCUUACUUUUGUGAGGUGCACUUCUUGGUUGAUGGGUCAGCAUCAGUUUUGGCUGCUGGAUAAAGGUUGGAGAAAUGUGGCACCUCCGGGUGUGUUAUAGUCUCUGAUAUAUACAGUGGCUGGGACUGAGGAACUCAGC
rnacentral:rRNA from 1 species